rnacentral:rRNA from 1 species
CCUANGGGGGGCAGCAGUGGGGAAUAUUGGACAAUGGGCGCAAGCCUGAUCCAGCAAUGCCGCGUGAGUGAAGAAGGCCUUAGGGUUGUAAAGCUCUUUCGGCGGGGACGAUGAUGACGGUACCCGCAGAAGAAGCCCCGGCUAACUCCGUGCCAGCAGCCGCGGUAAUACGGAGGGGGCUAGCGUUGUUCGGAAUUACUGGGCGUAAAGGGCGCGUAGGCGGCGCGAUAAGUUGGGCGUGAAAGGCCCGGGCUCAACCCGGGGACUGCGCUUGAUACUGUCGCGCUGUGAGUCCGGGAGAGGAUGGCGGAAUUCCCAGUGUAGAGGUGAAAUUCGUAGAUAUUGGGAAGAACACCGGUGGCGAAGGCGGCCAUCUGGACCGGCACUGACGCUGAGGCGCGAAAGCGUGGGGAGCAAACAGGAUUAGAUACCCUUNUANUC